GGUCAAAUACACAGUCGCCACAGCACUGUUCCAACUUUUAGCAAUUAAUGUUGUCUUCCCCUCUCCCCUAUACUAAUCACUCAUCUAACAUGCUUGGAUAUUUAAGCAAGCGUUCCAACAGGAUUCACAGACAUGUAUGUUGGAGAACAAGGGCAGGUUAAUAUGUUGGAGAACAAGGGCAGGUUAAUAUGUUGGAUGACAAGGGCAGGUUAAUAUGUUGGAUGACAAGGGCAGGUUAAUAUGUUGGUGACAAGGGCAGGUUAAUAUGUUGGUGACAAGGGCAGGUUAAUAUGUUGGUGACAAGGGCAGGUUAAUAUGUUGAUAACAAGGGCAGGUUAAUAUGUGGAUAACAAGGGCAGGUUAAUAUGUGGAUAACAAGGGCAGGUUAAUAUGUUGGUGACGAGGGCAGGUUAAUAUGUUGGUGACAAGGGCAGGUUAAUAUGUUGGUGACAAGGGCAGGUUAAUAUGUUGGUGACAAGGGCAGGUUAAUAUGUUGGUGACAAGGGCAGGUUAAUAUGUUGGUGACAAGGGCAGGUUAAUAUGUUGGUGACAAGGGCAGGUUAAUAUGUUGGUGACAAGGGCAGGUUAAUAUGUUGGUGACAUGGGCAGGUUAAUAUGUUGGAUGACAAGGGCAGGUUAAUAUGUUGGAUGACAAGGGCAGGUUAAUAUGUUGAUGACAAGGGCAGGUUAAUAUGUUGGUGACAAGGGCAGGUUAAUAUGUGGAUGACAAGGGCAGGUUAAUAUGUGGAUGACAAGGGCAGGUUAAUAUGUGGAUGACAAGGGCAGGUUAAUAUGUGGAUGACAAGGGCAGGUUAAUAUGUGGAUGACAAGGGCAGGUUAAUAUGUGGAUAACAAGGGCAGGUUAAUAUGUGGAUAACAAGGGCAGGUUAAUAUGUGGAUAACAAGGGCAGGUUAAUAUGUGGAUAACAAGGGCAGGUUAAUAUGUGGAUAACAAGGGCAGGUUAAUAUGUGGAUAACAAGGGCAGGUUAAUAUGUGGAUAACAAGGGCAGGUUAAUAUGUGGAUAACAAGGGCAGGUUAAUAUGUGGAUAACAAGGGCAGGUUAAUAUGUUGAUAACAAGGGCAGGUUAAUAUGUUGAUGACAAGGGCAGGUUAAUAUGUUGGUGACAAGGGCAGGUUAAUAUGUUGGUGACAAGGGCAGGUUAAUAUGUGGAUAACAAGGGCAGGUUAAUAUGUGGAUAACAAGGGCAGGUUAAUAUGUGGAUAACAAGGGCAGGUUAAUAUGUUGAUAACAAGGGCAGGUUAAUAUGUGGAUAACAAGGGCAGGUUAAUAUGUGGAUAACAAGGGCAGGUUAAUAUGUGGAUAACAAGGGCAGGUUAAUAUGUGGAUAACAAGGGCAGGUUAAUAUGUGGAUAACAAGGGCAGGUUAAUAUGUGGAUAACAAGGGCAGGUUAAUAUGUUGAUAACAAGGGCAGGUUAAUAUGUUGGUGACAAGGGCAGGUUAAUAUGUUGAUGACAAGGGCAGGUUAAUAUGUUGAUAACAAGGGCAGGUUAAUAUGUUGAUAACAAGGGCAGGUUAAUAUGUUGAUAACAAGGGCAG